rnacentral:tRNA from 1 species
GAGGGUGUAGCUCAGUGGCAGAGCGCAUGCUUAGCAUGCAUGAGGUCAUGGGUUUGAGCCCCAGGACCUUCA